UACGUAGGUCUCGAGCGUUAUCCGGAAUUACUGGGCGUAAAGCGUCUGUAGCCGGAUGUAUAAGUCUGUCUUUAAAUACUCCGAUUCAAUCGGAGAAAAGGGAUAGAUACUGUAUAUCUAGAGGAUUUUAGAGGUUAGUGGAAUUUCCGGUGGAGCGGUGAAAUGCGUUGAUAUCGGAAGGAAUGCCGAAAGCGAAAGCAGCUAACUAUAAAAUAACUGACGGUCAGAGACGAAAGCUUGGGGAGCGAACGGG
rnacentral:rRNA from 1 species